rnacentral:rRNA from 2 species
GCAUAUCAAUAAGCGGAGGAAAAGAAACCAACAGGGAUUGCCCCAGUAACGGCGAGUGAAGCGGCAACAGCUCAAAUUUGAAAUCUGGCCUCCGGGUCCGAGUUGUAAUUUGUAGAGGAUGCUUUUGGCGAGGUGCCUUCCGAGUUCCCUGGAACGGGACGCCAUAGAGGGUGAGAGCCCCGUCUGGUCGGACACCGAGCCUCUGUAAAGCUCCUUCGACGAGUCGAGUAGUUUGGGAAUGCUGCUCAAAAUGGGAGGUAUAUGUCUUCUAAAGCUAAAUAUUGGCCAGAGACCGAUAGCGCACAAGUAGAGUGAUCGAAAGAUGAAAAGCACUUUGAAAAGAGGGUUAAAAAGUACGUGAAAUUGUUGAAAGGGAAGCGCCUAUGACCAGACUUGGGCCCGGUGAAUCAUCCAGCGUUCUCGCUGGUGCACUUUGCCGGGCACAGGCCAGCAUCAGUUUGGCGCGGGGGAAAAAGGUUUUGGGAAUGUGGCUCCCUCGGGAGUGUUAUAGCCCAUUGCGUAAUACCCUGCGCCGGACUGAGGUACGCGCAUCGCAAGGAUGC